rnacentral:rRNA from 1 species
UAAGCCCAUACCACCAUGAACACACCAGAUCUUGUAAAUCUCAGAAGCCAAGCAGGGUCAGGUUAGUAUUUAGAGGGGAGAAAUAGAUUUUCACUUUAAAGAAAGUUGAGCCUUAC